rfam:Nematocida sp. 1 ERTm2 unplaced genomic scaffold supercont1.2, whole genome shotgun sequence.
GCGCUAAUGGUAUAAUGGUAGAACGCAACCCUUCCAAGGUUAAGACCCGGGUUCGAUUCCCGGUUAGCGCA